GCUUCUCUUGACAAAGACUUAUAGAGCCACCUGGGGAUCAGUAUAGAAGACAGUCUAAUAAAACAGAACAGUCUCAAGACUUUUCACUUCGGCUGCAUUGAAAGAGGGCAUGUAAACCCUUAUUGCAGAGAUCACUGUGAGGAAAAUGGAGUUGGAGUUCCGUGAAAAUAAAUUGCUCCCCCUCAAGUCAAGGAAAUAGAAAAUAUUUUAAAAGCAGCCCUUGCUCAAUGACACUAAAGGAAGAUAGAAGACUUCAGGAGAAAAUGCAAGCCUGUCUCUAUCAGCUGUCGUACCACUGCCGAGGCGGCAACUCCGAGGUAUUACAAAGAAGUGCAAGGAACAGAGGGAACAUAAA
rnacentral:lncRNA from 1 species